UCACUUUGUAGUUUCCAAGGCAACGGGCAGGGCCUUUCUCCUGAAAGGCGCCGCAUCAUCAUCAUUAUCAUCCACGCAGGGCUGGUCGAGAGGAAGCAGGAGCUAACAGCCCAGCAGUGGGUAACAUCAAGCACCUCCUUCUCUCGCUUCUUGUCGCGCUGCAGCACAGUCUCCAUCAACACUCAGUAAAAGGAAAAUGAUGUGGACGCGAAAAGGGAUAUGCUGAUUUGAGAACGGCCCUAUCAACUAUAGGAUCUAGCUAUUAUUCACCAUGAACGUUGCGGUGUCUCCCAUGGCCAGAGAGGCUGCCUCACCCAUGAUCACCUCCGUCACGCCCAGCUUUGAGGAGGAGGCAGGCCCCAGCCUCAGCCAGAGUGGUCUCUGUAGAGAAGGGCUGGCCCAGGAGAGGGACCCGGCCCGGAGGUAUCAGAACCAGAAACCCCCUCCCCUGCACACAGGGGCGGACUGGAAGGUGGUGCUGCACCUGCCUGAGAUUGAGACGUGGCUGAGGGCCACCACUGACAGGGUCCGGGAUCUCUCCCACUCUGUCCACCAGGACUCGGUCAACAAACACCUGGAUGUUCACCUAGUGCAGCUCAAGGACAAUGACUCAACACAUGACCCAACACACCUCCAGGCUGUGUAAGGGCUAUUUGACCAAGGGGAGUGUUGGAGUGCUGCAUCAGAUGACCUGGCCUCCACAAUCACCUGACCUCAACCGCAGAGUGAAGGAAAAGCAUCCAGCAAGUGCUCAGCAUAUGUGGGAACUCCUUCAAGGCUGUUGGAAAAGCAUUCCUCAUGAAGCUGGUUGAGAGAAUGCCAAGAGUGUGCAAAGCUGUCAUCAAGGCAAAAGGUGGCUACUUUGAAGAAUCUAAAAUCUAAAAUAUACUUUGAUUUGUCUAACACUUUUUUGGUUACUACAUGAUUACAUAUAAGUUAUUUCAUAGUUCUGAUAUCCUCACUAUUAUUCUACAAUGUAGAAAAUAGUAAAAAUAAAGAAAAACCCUGUAAUUAGGUGUGUCCAAACUUUGGACUGUUACUGUACAUAUUGCCUCAAUUACCUUGACUAACCUGUACCCCUGGACAUUGACUCGGUACUGGUACCCCCUGUAUGUUGCCUCGUUAUUGCUAUUUUAUUGUUGCUCUUUUAUUUUUUACUUUCGUGUAUUUAGUCAAUAUUUUCUUAAAACUGCAUUGUUGGUUAGGGCUUGUAAGUAAGCAUUUCACUGUUGUAUUCAGCGCAUGUGACAAAUAAAAUUUGAUUUGAUAUAAGGAGAGGGGUUAACACAAUUUGACCCUUUCCAUAACUAGAUUGAGUGGACUGCUUCAGAAAUCUGUUAUCGUGCUCUAUAUAACGAAGACAUGAAUUCAGUGUCACUAUGUUGAUAGUGUUAGAAAUAGAGGAAGUUGUUUCUAUGGUGAUACAUGGAGUGUUUGGAGAGAUUCCUAGUGAGAUGUUCUUGCAGAUGUAGACAAUAUGUGACUGAGAGGAAGUCAACGUUGACUGCCCUUUGCUGUUUAUAUAGUUGUUACUGUAUAUCAGCCGGUCUCAGUAAGAGACCCUUGCUAAGGCCUGACUGCUGCAUCUACAAGCUGCAUGUAGAAUGUUGAGUGUGUGUGUGUAUUUGCCAAGGCAGCAGCUUCUCAUCCUGGGGUCCAGCAAAAUUAAGGCAGUUAGACAAUUUUAAAAAUGUUACAACACAUUCACAACAGAUUUCACAACACAUUAUUGUGUGCACUCAGGCCCCUACUCUACUAUCACAUAUCCAUAGCACAAAAUCCAUGUGUACGUGUAUAUAUAGUGUGUAUGUUAUCAUGUGUGUUAGCAUGCAUCUGUGCCUGUGUUUGUGUUGCUUCACAGUCCCUGCUGUUCCAUAAGGUUUAUGUUUUUUGAAACCUAAUUUUACUGCUUGCAUGAGACUUGAUGUGAAAUGGAGUUCCAUGUAGUCAUCAAUCAAUCAAUCAAUCAAGUUUAUUUUAUAUAGCCCUUCGUACAUCAGCUAAUAUCUCGAAGUGCUGUACAGAGACCCAGCCUAAAAGUCAUGGCUCUAUUUAAUAUUGUGCGUCUCCCAUAGUCUGUUCUGGACUGUGUAGAGACCUCUUGCAUGGGUGUCUGAGCUGUGUGCCAGUAGUUUAAACAGACAGCUCGGUGCUUUCAACACGUCAGUAUCUCUCACAAAACAAGUAGUGAUGAAGUCAAUCUCUCCUCCACUUUGAGCCAGGAGAGAUUGACAUGCAUAUUACGAAUGUUAGCUCUCUGUGUACAUCCAAGGGCCAGCCGUGCUGCCCUGUUCUGAGCCAAUUACACCUGACCACACAACUGAACAGUAGUCUAGGUGCGACAAAACGAGGGCCUGUAGGACCUGCCUUGUUGAUAGUGCUGUUUAGAAGGCAGACACUUUAUUAUGGACAGACUCCUCCCCAUCUUAGCUACUGUUGUAUCAAUAUGUUUUGACCAUGACAGUUUACAAUCCAGAGUGACUCCAAGCAGUUUAGUCACAUUAAGUUUCUCAAUUUCCACAUGAUUAAUUUACAAGAUUUAGUUGAGGUUUAGGGUUUAGUGAAUGAUUUGUCCCAAAUACAAUGGUUUUAGUUUUUGAAAUAUUUCGGACCAAGUUAUUCCUUGCCACCCAAUCUGAAACUAACUGCAACUCUUUGUUAAGUGUUUCAGGUAUUGCAGUCGCUGUAGUAGUUGACGUGUCUAGUGUUGAGUCAUCCGCAUACAUAGCUACACUGGCUUUCCUCAAAGCCAGUGGCAUGUCGUUAGUAAAGAUUUUCAAAUGUAAGGGCCCUAGAUAGCUGCCCUGGGGAAUUCCUAAUUUUACAUGGCUCCCGAGUGGUGCAGCGGUUCUAAAGCACUGCAUCUAAGUGGUAGAUGUGUCACUACAGACCCUGGUUCGAUUAAAGGCUAUAUCACAACCAGCUGUGAUUGGGAGUCCCAUUGGGCGGCGCACAAUUGGUCCAGUGUCAUCCGGGUUAGGGUUUGGCCGGGGUAGACUGUCAUUGUAAAUAAGAAUUUGCUAGUUAAAUAAAAUGAAAUGUUGGAGAGGCUUCCAAUAAAGAACACCCUCUGUGUUCUAUUAAACUGGUAACUCUUUGUCCACAUUAAAGCAGAGGGUGUAAAGCCAUAACACAUACGUUUGUCCAGCAGCAGACUAUGAUCAACAUUGUCAAAAGCCACACUGAAGUCUAAUAAAACAGCCCCCACAAUCUUUUUAGAAUUUUCUCUCAGCCAAUCAUCAUUCUUUUGUGACAGUGCUGUGCUUGUGUUAAUGUCCUUCCCUAUAAGCAUGCUGAAAGUCUGUUGUCAAUUUGUUUACAUCAGUGUUUCUGGUCAAACACCAUUUUUUUCAAAUGUUUACUAAGGGUUGGUAACAGGCUGAUUGCUCGGCUAUUUAAGCCAGUAAAGGGGGUGUUACUAUUCUUUCUAGUAGGCUUAAAAUGAUGACAUGGCAAAUAGGAGUGCCAAAAUCGUCCACUAUUAUCCUCAGUAAUUUUCCAUCCAAGUUGUCAGACACCGGUGGCUUAUUAUUGUUGAUAGACAACAAUCCUUUUUUCAACUCUUCCACGGUCACUUUACGGAAUUCAAAAUUACAUUGGUUCUUUUGCAUAAUUUGGUCUGAUAUACUUGGAUGUGUAGUCAGCUUUUUUUUGCUGGCAUGUCAUACCUGAGUUUGCUCAUCUUGCCAAUGAAAACAUCUUUAAAGUAGUUGGCAAUAUCAGUAGGUUUUAUACACUAUAUUAGGCCCAGCCUUUGGAACUUUGAUUUUCCUAGAUAUGGCUACUAUAUUGUGAUCACUACGUCCAAUGAAAUUGUACUGUUUUAAAUGACUUUUCUGCAGCAUUAGUAAAGAUGUGGUCAAUACAUGUUGAUGAUUUGCUGUUUGUAACUACCCUGGUAGGUUGACUGAUAACCUGAACCAGGUUUCAGGCACUAGUUACAGUUUGAAACUUUCUCUUGAGUGGGCAGCCUGAUGAAAGCUAGUCAAUAUUUAAAUCACCCAGAAAAUAUACCUCUCUAUUGACAUCACAUACAUUAUCAAGCAUUUCACACGUUAUCCAGAUACUGACUGUUUGCACUUGGUGGUCUGUAGCAGCUUCCCACCAGAAUGGGCUUUAGGUGAGGCAGUUGAGCCUGUAGCCAUAUUACUUCAACAGUAUUUAACAUGAGAUCCUCUCUAAGCUUUACAGGAAUGUGGUUCUGAAUAUAAUAUAAACAGAUCACACCCCCACGCGUGUGUGUGCGCACAAACACACAAACAACGGACACACAGAGACGCCUCGUGGGGGGCAGUUCAAACUCCCACAUCUUUAUUUAUACUCUAGGAUGGAUCAAUGUUCAGGCAAACAGGGAGGUGACUUGCAGCUGUUUGUAAAAUUGUAUUUCUAGUGAUGUGAUCCCAGCCCCGCAGAGAAUCCCAGGAAUUCAGCCAUCUCAUGUCUCUCUGUGCAGCAAGUGUGUGUGUGUGUGUGUGUUUGUGUGUGUGUGUGUGUGUGUGUUUGUGUGUGCAUGCCCACGCUAGGCAGGCCUGGUAAAGGCUGGUGGAGGCUAGGCAGGCCUGGUAAAGGCUGGUGGAGGCUAGGCAGGCCUGGUAAAAGCUGGUGGAGGCUAGGCAGGCCUGGUAAAGGCUGGUGGAGGCUACGCAGGCCUGGUAAAGGCUGGUGGAGGCUACGCAGGCCUGGUAAAUGCUGGUGGAGGCUUGGCAGGCCUGGUAAAGGUUGGUGGAGCCUGGGGAGGACAGGAGAGCAUGCAGAUCACACCCUGGGGUGAGGGGGCCACCUCACAGCUAGUUAUUGGGAGUGUGGAGUACGGAGUGUGGAGUAUGGAGUGUGGCUAGCUACAUACCUUUUACUUAGCCACCAGACACAACAUUCACACCCUAUCAGGUGCAGGCUCCACAAAGGUAAGGUUACGCUACAGAGUAGAUACUGAUGGUACCGAAGACAAACAUUUUAUGAAAUAUUUUGUUGUUGCAAAUAUAGCAUAUACAAAGACUUCAAAAUAUUCAUAAGGAUUGUUUGCACAAGUCUUGUAGGGUAAGAGAAAUUUGCUGUCGCCUUCUGCCAUUUGCAUUAACUUUUUCCAAAGUGUUGCAACAACUUUUUAUAAUAAAUGAUUUAACAAAUAAGGACAAGAAUCAAUGUGAAUUAGAAAUGACUGUCUCGUCUGAUGCCAAACCCACUGCCCCCUGUGGCAGCUACACCCACUGGGCAGAGGAGUGGGGGGGGAAACACUCAGUCUUGGGGUGCAGCUGCCCCACGGCUGGGCAGAGAGAGGGGGCUGCGUGGUUAAUUCAGAGAGGAGGGUGAGGUCAAAUCCUAAAAUAGCCCCCCUAGUAUUGUGAGGGCAGGGAGCCCUCUCUCAUCAAACAGUAUGGCAGGGAGCCCUCUCUCACCAAACAGUACCUUCUACAUGAGAUACAAGCUCUAAUACUGUCAGAGAGAGAAACAGCGUUAGACUGUACUGGUUGAUACUGUCAGAGAGAGAAACAGCUAGACUGUAUUGGUUGAUACUGUCAGAGAGAGAAACAGCCUUAGACUGUAUUGGUUGAUACUGUCAGAGAGAGAAACAGUUAGACGGUACUGGUUGAUACUGUCAGAGAGAGAAACAGCGUUAGACUGUACUGGUUGAUACUGUCAGAGAGAGAAACAGCGCUAGACUGUACUGGUUGACACUGUCAGAGAGAGAAACAGCGUUAGACUGUACUGGUUGAUACUGUCAGAGAGAGAAACAGCCUUAGACUGUACUGGUUGAUACUGUCAGAGAGAGAAACAGCGUUAGACUGUAUUGGUUGAUACUGUCAGAGAGAGAAACAGAGCUAGACUGUACUGGUUGAUACUGUCAGAGAGAGAAACAGCGUUAGACUGUACUGGUUGAUACUGUCAGAGAGAGAAACAGCUAGACUGUACUGGUUGAUACUGUCAGAGAGAGAAACAGCUAGACUGUACUGGUUGAUACUGUCAGAGAGAGAAACAGUUAGACUGUACUGGUUGAUACUGUCAGAGAGAGAAACAGCUAGACUGUACUGGUUGAUACUGUCUGAGAGAGAAACAGCGUUAGACUGUAUUGGUUGAUACUGUCAGAGAGAGAAACAGCGCUAGACUGUACUGGUUGAUACUGUCAGAGAGAGAAACAGCGCUAGACUGUACUGGUUGAUACUGUCAGAGAGAGAAACAGUGCUAGACUGUACUGGUUGAUACUGUCAGAGAGAGAAACAGCUAGACUGUACUGGUUGAUACUGUCAGAGAGAGAAACAGCGUUAGACUGUACUGGUUGAUACUGUCAGAGAGAGAAACAGUUAGACUGUACUGGUUGAUACUGUCAGAGAGAGAAACAGCGUUAGACUGUAAUGGUUGAUACUGUCAGAGAGAGAAACAGCUAGACUGUACUGGUUGAUACUGCCAGAGAGAGAAACAGCUAGACUGUACUGGUUGAUACAGUCAGAGAGAGAAACAGCAUUAGACUGUACUGGUUGAUACUAUCAGAGAGAGAAACAGCUAGACUGUACUGGUUGAUACUGUCAGAGAGAGAAACAGUUAGACUGUACUGGUUGAUACUGUCAGAGAGAGAAACAGCGUUAGACUGUACUGGUUGAUACUGUCAGAGAGAGAAACAGUUAGACUGUACUGGUUGAUACUGUCAGAGAGAGAAACAGCGUUAGACUGUAAUGGUUGAUACUGUCAGAGAGAGAAACAGCGCUAGACUGUACUGGUUGAUACUGUCAGAGAGAGAAACAGCGCUAGACUGUACUGGUUGAUACUGUCAGAGAGAGAAACAGUGUUAGACUGUACUGGUUGAUACUGUCAGAGAGAGAAACAGCUAGACUGUACUGGUUGAUACUGUCAGAGAGAGAAACAGCUAGACUGUACUGGUUGAUACUGUCAGAGAGAGAAACAGCGUUAGACUGUACUGGUUGACACUGUCAGAGAGAGAAACAGCCUUAGACUGUACUGGUUGACACUGUCAGAGAGAGAAACAGCUAGACUGUACUGGUUGAUACUGUCAGAGAGAGAAACAGCGCUAGACUGUACUGGUUGAUACUGUCAGAGAAAGAAACAGCGUUAGACUGUACUGGUUGAUACUGUCAGAGAGAGAAACAGUUAGACUGUACUGGUUGAUACAGUCAGAGAGAGAAACAGACUGUACUGGUUGAUACUGUCAGAGAGAGAAACAGCUAGACUGUACUGUUUGAUACUGUCAGAGAGAGAAACAGCGUUAGACUGUACUGGUUGACACUGUCAGAGAGAGAAACAGCUAGACUGUACUGGUUGAUACUGUCAGAGAGAGAAACAGCUAGACUGUACUGGUUGAUACUGUCAGAGAGAGAAACAGCGUUAGACUGUACUGGUUGAUACUGUCAGAGAGAGAAACAGCUAGACUGUACUGGUUGAUACUGUCAGAGAGAGAAACAGUUAGACUAUACUGGUUGAUACUGUCAGAGAGAGAAACAGCUAGACUGUACUGGUUGAUACUGUCAGGGAGAGAAACAGUUAGACUGUACUGGUUGACACUGUCAGAGAGAGAAACAGCCUUAGACUGUACUGGUUGAUACAGUCAGAGAGAGAAACAGCGUUAGACUGUACUGGUUGAUACUGUCAGAGAGAGAAACAGCUAGAAUGUACUGGUUGAUACUGUCAGAGAGAGAAACAGCUAGACUGUACUGGUUGAUACUGUCAGAGAGAGAAACAGCUAGACUGUACUGGUUGAUACUGUCAGAGAGAGAAACAGUUAGACUUUACUGGUUGAUACUGUCAGAGAGAGAAACAGCUAGACUGUACUGGUUGAUACUGUCAGAGAGAGAAACAGCGUUAGACUGUACUGGUUGAUACUGUCAGAGAGAGAAACAGCUAGACUGUACUGGUUGAUACUGUCAGAGUGUUACGCACGCCUCUGAGAAGAGGGAACGCAACUCCCUGCUACAACUCAACUCCCUGAAGUGCAAGAGGUAUGGACUGUAGGUGCGAGUAAGGAUGACACAAAAGCAGAAUUUACCGUUUACUAGAAUUUAUUUUCUUACACGGUAAUAUGGGGAAAAGGGGCUGGACGGAACCAAAGCAAAGAAAGUAAAUAAAGUUCCCCCUCUCCUAUCUAACCUGCCUACCCACUUAACUUACCUAACUUAACACCGCCUGGUGCCCUAACCAAAAUACAGGGGGUGGUCCGCCCAGGUCUUACCUAGUGUGCCUAGACAGUAAAUAUACUACGGGUAUA